rnacentral:rRNA from 1 species
UACACUCCUACGGGAGGCAGCAGUGGGGAAUUUUGGACAAUGGGCGAAAGCCUGAUCCAGCAAUGCCGCGUGAGUGAAGAAGGCCUUCGGGUUGUAAAGCUCUUUUGUCAGGGAAGAAACGGUGAAAGCUAAUAUCUUUUGCUAAUGACGGUACCUGAAGAAUAAGCACCGGCUAACUACGUGCCAGCAGCCGCGGUAAUACGUAGGGUGCAAGCGUUAAUCGGAAUUACUGGGCGUAAAGCGUGCGCAGGCGGUUUUGUAAGUCUGAUGUGAAAUCCCCGGGCUCAACCUGGGAAUUGCAUUGGAGACUGCAAGGCUAGAAUCUGGCAGAGGGGGGUAGAAUUCCACGUGUAGCAGUGAAAUGCGUAGAUAUGUGGAGGAACACCGAUGGCGAAGGCAGCCCCCUGGGUCAAGAUUGACGCUCAUGCACGAAAGCGUGGGGAGCAAACAGGAUUAGAUACCCUGGUAGUCCC